UACGUAGGGUCCGAGCGUUGUCCGGAUUUAUUGGGCGUAAAGAGCUCGUAGGCGGCUUGGCAAGUCGGGUGUGAAACCUCCAGCUCAACCUGGAGACGCCACUCGAUACUGCCAUGCUAGAGUCCGGUAGGGGACCACGGAAUUCCUGGUGUAGCGGUGAAAUGCGCAGAUAUCAGGAGGAACACCGGUGGCGAAGGCGGGACUCUGGGCCGAUACUGACGCUGAGGAGCGAAAGCGUGGGGAGCAAACAGG
rnacentral:rRNA from 1 species